rnacentral:rRNA from 1 species
GGGGGUGAACCUGCGGAGGGAUCAUUACCGAGUUUACAACUCCCCAAACCCCUGUGAACAUACCAAUUGUUGCUUCGGCGGAUCAGCCCGCUCCCGGUAAAACGGGACGGCCCGCCAGAGGACCCCUAAACUCUGUUUCUAUAUGUAACUUCUGAGUAAAACCAUAAAUAAAUCAAAACUUUCAACAACGGAUCUCUUGGUUCUGGCAUCGAUGAAGAACGCAGCAAAAUGCGAUAAGUAAUGUGAAUUGCAGAAUUCAGUGAAUCAUCGAAUCUUUGAACGCACAUUGCGCCCGCCAGUAUUCUGGCGGGCAUGCCUGUUCGAGCGUCAUUUCAACCCUCAAGCCCAGCUUGGUGUUGGGACUCGCGAGUCAAAUCGCGUUCCCCAAAUUGAUUGGCGGUCACGUCGAGCUUCCAUAGCGUAGUAGUAAAACCCUCGUUACUGGUAAUCGUCGCGGCCACGCCGUUAAACCCCAACUUCUGAAUGUUGACCUC